CAGUGGCGACACGGUUUCCAAAAACAAGAUUGUCGGUAAUGAGACAGCGGGGAGAUGUCCCCACAUGUGACCUCGACUGCAGGCACCAAUUUCUGCAGAGAGUCCAUCGAAGUCCGAGGUUCAUCUGGGAGACGAGGGCGCCGCCUGACAACUCGCCGUCUAUUUUAGGAAAAUAAGGCCCACUUACGCCAGAGGAGAUAAUGCAGACGUCCAACACAAAUGCUCCUCUGACAGCCAAGUCAGAGCUUAGCUGGUGAGGAGGCGGGGUUGAAAAAGAGGACAUGUGGACCCAUGUGAUCAAAGCCAAAGAAACGCGAGGAUGAAAAACGAACUUAAAGCACAAUUAUCGACGCACACAAAAGUCGUCAGCCGAUUGUAUUCUGCUUGAUUCUAAACCGGGGCCAUGGAUGGAGUGCAAGAAAGAACAAUGUACUGAAGGAGGGGGCGGCGUUUAAAGAAACUGGCCAUAAUUGCUUUGUGAAAAAGGAAGAGCAAGCAAAACAGUAAAGAGUUAAAGUGUGAUGAGAGCACGGUGUGACUGCAGAUGGACGAUCCUGUUUAAAUAGCUAAAAAAAUUACAUUUUUUAUGUUUGUGUGGACUUACGA